rnacentral:rRNA from 1 species
UACGUAGGGUGCGAGCGUUGUCCGGAAUCAUUGGGCGUAAAGAGCGUGUAGGCGGCCCGGUAAGUCCGCUGUGAAAGUCGGGGGCUCAACCCUCGAAUGCCGGUGGAUACUGUCGGGCUAGAGUGCGGAAGAGGCGAGUGGAAUUCCUGGUGUAGCGGUGAAAUGCGCAGAUAUCAGGAGGAACACCGAUGGCGAAGGCAGCUCGCUGGGACGGAACUGACGCUGAGGCGCGAAAGCGUGGGGAGCAAACAGG